rnacentral:rRNA from 1 species
UACGAGGGCUCCAAGCGUUAUCCGGAUUUAUUGGGCGUAAAGGGUCUGUAGGUGGUUUUUCGCAUCUCCUGUUAAAGCCCGAGGCUUAACCUCGGAACAGCGGGAGAGAUGGAUAAACUAGAGGCUGGGAAAGGCAAAUGGAAUUGCUGGUGUAGGGGUUAAAUCCGUUAAUAUCAGCAGGAACACCGAAUGCGAAAGCAGUUUGCUGGAACAGUCCUGACACUGAAAGACGAAAGCGUGGGUAG